AGUGGACGGUCAUGCCCAUCAGUUGCCUGCAGUUCUAUGGAGUGGACCACUGUCUGGUGAGAGAAAAGUAGACCCAUGGAUCACUUCUGACCAGCAACUGUGGUGAUCAAGAGACUAGAUCAAAUAUAAUUCAUCUUACCCAGAAAAAAAAAAUCCUGGCUCAGUUAGAAGGACCAGAAGUGGAUACCAAAGGCAAGCCAUUUAUAGCUGGUUGCUGACAAUUAAAAUGAAAGAAUUUUGAAAGAAGGAGGUACAUUCACCUAUAAUCCUGCCACCUAAAUACCAGCCUCGUCAUUCUGGCGUGAUGUCCCCAGACCCCCUCCACCAACGUGCACAUCUGCAGCUGGCUGCCACCCCAGGGUACAGUUUUUCAGUCUACGUUUCCUUGCUAUGACAGACAUCUUUCUGUAUUGCUACAUACCAGAAGUCUAGGAUUUUAAGCACUGCAAAACAGCCUACUAAAUGAAUAUACCUCCACUAUGGAAAGAUAAUGAACACCAAAGCAAUACUGUUACAAAUUAGGAGGCCUCACUCAUUCACACCUACCAAGAUUUUGUUAGAUACGGCACCCCCACCCCAACUCAAUCCUUCUUGAAAAAUUAGUCUGGUUGUCUUUAUGACUUUGUUCCUUAAAUCUGGGAAUUCAAUAU